rnacentral:rRNA from 1 species
UCAGGACGAACGCUGGCGGCGUGCCUAAUACAUGCAAGUCGAACGGUCUUUCUAUGGAAGCUUGCUUCCACUGGGAAGAUAGUGGCGAACGGGUGAGUAACACGUGGGUAACCUGCCCAUAAGAGGGGGGAUAACAUCCGGAAACGGGUGCUAAUACCGCAUAGUUUUCUUGAUCGCAUGAUUGAGAAAGGAAAGACGGCCUUUGUGCUGUCGCUUAUGGAUGGACCCGCGGCGUAUUAGUUAGUUGGUGAGGUAACGGCUCACCAAGACGAUGAUACGUAGCCGACCUGAGAGGGUGAUCGGCCACAUUGGGACUGAGACACGGCCCAAACUCCUACGGGAGGCAGCAGUAGGGAAUCUUCCGCAAUGGACGAAAGUCUGACGGAGCAACGCCGCGUGAGUGAAAGAAGGUUUUCGGAUCGUAAAACUCUGUUGUCAGAGAAGAACAAGUUGGAGAGUAACUGCUCCAGCCUUGACGGUAUCUGACCAGAAAGCCACGGCUAACUACGUGCCAGCCGCCGC